rnacentral:rRNA from 1 species
UACGAGGGGUCCAAGCGUUGCUCGGAAUCAUUGGGCGUAAAGGGUGCGUAGGCGGCGCGGUAAGUCGGGUGUGAAAUCUCGGAGCUUAACUCCGAAACUGCAUUCGAUACUGCCGUGCUUGAGGACUGGAGAGGAGACUGGAAUUUACGGUGUAGCGGUGAAAUGCGUAGAUAUCGUAAGGAAGACCAGUGGCGAAGGCGGGUCUCUGGACAGUUCCUGACGCUGAGGCACGAAGGUCAGGGGAGCAAACGGG